GCCUCGCAGCGGAAGAGCUGCUGGCGCGCCUCGUUGUUCUUGGCCGUCAGGUUGCCCAGCGUGAAGAGGAGACGCACGACCAGGUCCUGCGGGAGAGACGUGUCCAGAGUUUUCUCGUGCCUCCGGAAGGGGGGGGGGGGGGGGUCAGGCGCCCUCAGCCGCCCCGGUGCUGUUCUGUCAGUCAAAUGGUGAGCAGGUGCACUUGGACGCACGCGCCUCUCAUGACCAACCCGCCCGCCGUCGUGAACGUGCAGCAACACAGGAGGUGGACGACGGCGGCGUUUCCCGACAGAAAUUUCAGCGUGCCGGCGCCGUAAAAUAGCGCUUCGCCGCACGUCGUCGCAUCCUCGCGCA